rfam:Bacterium F083 scaffold_5, whole genome shotgun sequence.
GGAGAUAUGGCUGAGUGGUCGAUAGCGGCGGUCUUGAAAACCGUUAAGCCGAAAGGCUUCGGGGGUUCGAAUCCCUCUGUCUCCG